rnacentral:misc_RNA from 1 species
CCGAGUUUAUCGGGGGGCUCGUCCCCCCGAAACCUCCACCCGAUGCUUGGAUGACCCGCCUUGUCGUUGCCUCGGCGGGGUGCGCGGCAGUGCUCCCCGCCGGCGGACGGCGCUCAAAAACCCUGAUGUCAACACUUGCAGUCGGAGCCCUCGCGGCGAAAAGUUAAAACAGUCA